AACGAACGCUGGCGGUGUGCUUAACACAUGCAAGUCGAACGAGAAAGUUUCCUUCGGGGAGCUAGUAAAGUGGCGCAAGGGUGAGUAGCACGUGAAUAAUCUGCCCUCGAGAUCGGGAUAACCUGAGGAAACUUAGGCUAAUACCGGAUAAGACCACAUUUCAUAUGGAAUGUAGGGAAAAGGAGUCUCAAUCUUCACUCGAGGAUGAGUUCGCGGACCAUUAGCUUGUUGGUGAGAUAAAAGCUCACCAAGGCAACGAUGGUUAGCCGGCCUGAGAGGGCGAUCGGCCACACUGGAACUGAGACACGGUCCAGACUCCUACGGGAGGCAGCAGUGGGGGAAUAUUGCGCAAUGGGCGAAAGCCUGACGCAGCAACGCCGUGCGAGCGAUG
rnacentral:rRNA from 1 species